GGCAAGUCUGGUGCCAGCAGCCGCGGUAAUUCCAGCUCCAAUAGCGUAUAUUAAAGUUGUUGCGGUUAAAAAGCUCGUAGUUGAAUUUGUGUUCCGCGCUGUCGGUUCACCGCCCGCGGUGUUUAACUGGCACGUCCGCGGAACGUCCUGCCGGUGGACGCGUAGACCCUGUAUGCUUCCCCAUUGUGCGUGUGCAACUUCGGUUGUUACUGUAUGAUGUGGUGGGGUUGCAGGCGCUUUACCGUCCGACUCAAUAAUCCUGUCGCGGUGCUCUUAAUUGAGUGUCGAGGCGGGCCGGCACGUUUACUUUGAACAAAUUAGAGUGCUCAAAGCAGGCUAAAAUUUCGCCUGAAUACUGUGUGCAUGGAAUAAUGGAACAGGACCUCGGUUCUAUUUUGUUGGUUUUCGGAACCCCGAGGUAAUGAUUAAUAGGGACAGAUGGGGGCAUUCGUAUUGCGACGUUAGAGGUGAAAUUCUUGGAUCGUCGCAAGACGGACAGAAGCGAAAGCAUUUGCCAAAAAUGUUUUCAUUAAUCAAGAACGAAAGUCAGAGGUUCGAAGGCGAUCAGAUACCGCCCUAGUUCUGACCAUAAACGAUGCCAGCUAGCGAUCCGCCGACGUUCCUCCGAUGACUCGGCGGGCAGCUUCCGGGAAACCAAAGCUUUUGGGUUCCGGGGGAAGUAUGGUUGCAAAGCUGAAACUUAAAGGAAUUGACGGAAGGGCACCACCAGGAGUGGAGC
rnacentral:rRNA from 1 species